UAUCGACUCUCUUCCUUGCCAUUCCAAAACAGACGAAGAUGGCGGAUACUGAAGAACGCCAGCGCCUUUUGGAUGAGGACGGGGAUAUCCCCUCUUCACGUCCCAUAAAUGAAAGUGGACCCGGCAGGCCGAUGUCUGCGCUCUGCGACCCAAGUCGGCUGCUUCAUCGCUUAGUCGUUCUCGCCUUUAUGUGCUUUUUGGGUUUCGGAAGUUACUUCUGUUAUGAUAACCCAGCUGCACUACAGACUCAAGUCAUACAGGACAUGAAUCUGAACACGUCUAUGUUCAUGCAACUUUACGCCUGGUAUUCAUGGCCCAACGUGGUGCUCUGUUUCCUGGGGGGCUUCCUGCUGGACAGGGUUUUUGGCAUCAGGCUUGGAACGAUCAUCUUCGCCCUGUUUGUCUGCAUUGGACAGGUCAUAUUUGCUGCUGGGGCGUUAUUAGAUCGCUUCUGGUUAAUGGAGGUCGGACGGUUUGUGUUUGGGAUCGGAGGUGAGUCGCUGGCUGUGGCUCAGAACACUUAUGCGGUGAACUGGUUCAAAGGGAAGGAGCUGAACUUGGUGUUUGGGCUUCAGCUCAGCAUGGCCAGGCUGGGCAGCACGGUCAACAUGAACAUCAUGGGCUGGGUCUACAACCGGGUGGCUGUCCUCGUAGGCUCCGUAGGACACACUACUCUGGGGGUCUCGCUCAUGAUUGCUGGGGCUACCUGUAUAUUCUCCCUGAUCUGUGCUCUGGUGUUGGGCUACCUGGACAAAAGGGCAGAGAGAAUCCUCCACAAGGAACACCGGGGAACUGGGGAGGUGAUCAAGCUGACGGAUGUGAAGGACUUCCCUUUCCCACUGUGGCUGAUCUUCAUAAUCUGUGUGGGCUACUACGUGGCCAUCUUCCCGUUCAUUGGACUCGGACAGGUGUUCUUCAUUGAAAAGUUUAAUUUCUCACCUGCUGAAGCAAGAGCAAUCAACAGUAUCGUGUACAUCAUCUCUGCCCCAGCCUCUCCUGUGUUGGGCUUCAUGGUGGAUAAGAUAGGGAGGAAUGUCAUCUGGGUGAUAUGUGCUGUCUUCGCCACGCUCAUGGCCCACAUGAUGCUCGCUUUCACCUUCUGGAACCCCUGGAUCGCAAUGUCUCUGCUGGGUGUUUCUUACUCGCUGCUGGCCUGUGCGUUGUGGCCUAUGGUGGCCUUUGUGGUGCCAGAGCAUCAACUGGGGACAGCAUAUGGCUUCAUGCAAUCCAUCCAGAACUUGGGCCUAGCUCUGAUUGCUAUGGCAGCCGGAUCAAUUCUGGACCAAAGGGGAUACCUCUUCCUGGAGGUUUUCUUCAGUGCUUGUGUCUGCAUUGCAUUGAUUGCGGUAGUGAUGCUGUACUUUGUGGAUUAUCUCAGAGGAGGUGAUCUGAACCUCUCUGCCUCUGCCAGGGCAAAACUACAUCUUAAGAAUUCAGACUCUGAGUGAGAAGGCAUGUAGUCCUUGGCCUCAGCUGGCUGCACUGACCUGACCUGACCAGAGCUAUAAAUCACCCACCAGGGGGCACCACUGACUCCUCCCAUCUACACCCAGCCCUGCAUUGUUACUGACCCCUUUUACAAACAUACUGACCCAUGGCAGCUCAGAUGCUGACCCCUCUACUCUGACAUCACAGACUCUGCCUCCUGGUUCAGCUGCCUCUUACUUGUUCUUCCACCUCACCAAGCUCAGAAUAUUUCAUUUUUGUAAUGUCAGUAGAGUGGGGUACAAGGAGCGCAUUUUACAGACUUUUUAAAGUGUUUUCAGAAGCUCCCACAUCACCGCUAUACCCUCCUGUUCUCACUGGCACACAGAAGUGUACUGAUGCGACCUACUCUGCACUUCACCCUACAGACAGUUCUCGUCUGUUAGGGAGCUAUCUACUUCAGUGCCUUUUGAUUUCUGAGUUUCUAAGCAAAUCGCUUCAUAAUAAUUGAUAGUGAUAUGACUGUGGUAGAGCUUCUAUUGUUAUAUGAGCUGUGUGUGUGUCUUCUUGGUGCAUAAACCUGAAGUGUUAACUGUGUCAACAACAGAGGGCACCAUUUAUCCAAGAUACAAUGUAAAAGUCAAUAUUAGUCUGUGAUUUGAAUGGACUGCAGAUGCAGAGGAGAGAAUGUUUCCUUCAUGACUGAAUACAACCAUCACCUUUAUUAUGUUCAAUAUUGUGUUAUCUGAGAAAUGACUUUGUAAAUUGCAAUAUAUGUGUGUUAUUGUCAGUAAUAUAUUAAAGUUGUUUGACUUAGUAUUGUUACAUGAGGUCUGUGUAUUGUUGUUUGUGAAAAGAAGAUAUUUGGUUACAAAAAUGUGUAUGCAGUCUUUUUUUGUAAAACCCCUUGAAUACAAGAAUCAGACUUCACUGCUGAGGGCUAGAGUACAGCCCAGUGAAGGCUUACAACAGGUUCCCAACCUAUGGGGUAUACUCCCGAAAUUGUGCGUUUGUCCUAUCCUGUAGAUCAGUGGUGUCAAAACAGUUCCACAAAGGCAGAGUGUCUGCAGGUUUUAGUUUUUACCUAUAAAUGGGUUCCCGGUUCAGAUCUGAACAACCAGGUGAGGGUAGAAACUAACCAGUUAGUGACCUAAGUAAUCAAGUACAAUGUGAGAGCAAGAACCCGCAGAGACUUGGCCCUCCAUGGAACUGUUUUGACACCUCUGCUGUAUAUAGAAACACUACUGUUCAAAAAUGCUGGCUCACUUAGAAAAUGAAUAGGAAAAUUUGUUAGAAAUAAUGAUUUUUAACUGAAAUAAUAAUUGUGUCUUUCAAACUUUGUCAAAGAAUUCUCCAUUUGAUGUAAUUACAGCCUUGCAGACCUUUGCCAUUGUAGUUGUCAAUUUGUUGUGUUAAUCUGAAGCACCUCCCACAUGUUGGAUUGGCUUGAUGGGCACUUCUUAUGUACCAUACAGUCAUGCUGCUCCCACAACAGCUCAUCUUUUCUUUUGAUCUGUGUCUCACGAAUGUUCUUUAUAAUCUGAACACCUCAAACCUAGAUUUAUCUACUUUUAACACUUUUCUCCAAUCUUCCUCUGUGUACUUUUGCCCAUCUUAAUCUUUUAUUUUCAUUGGCCCGUCUGAAAUAAAUUUUUCUUUGCAUCCUG